UAUUCAGAUGACUCCAUUUGAAGCUCUAUUUGGGUAUGCUUCAUGUUUGUUUCGUGAAAACUUUGUUGUUGAUUCAUCAGUGGGGUUUGUAGGGAGUUUGUUACAGGAGAGGCAGCAGCUUAAUAAUCUUUUAAAGGAGAAUUUGCAAGUUGCCCAGUAGAGGAAAAAGCAGCAGGCGGACAGAAGGAGGACUAAGGGGGAGUUUGCUAUUGGGGAUUGGGUGUAUUUGAAGCUUCUGCCUUAUAGGCAGACGUCAGUAGCUGUUAGACAAGCCCUUAAACUUUCUGCUAAGUUUU
rnacentral:misc_RNA from 1 species